CACCACCAAUGGCCACUUCCCAAAUCCCCAUCCCCAUAGAAAGAGAUAGAAGAAACUGACGUAAACAUCUGCUUCUCCCUCCCGGCCACUGACGGGCUCUUCUCAAUCGGCGCCGGCCUCUAUACCUGCUGCCAUAUAUCUAGAUAUAAAGUCUAUUUUGAGCAAGGAAAAAAAGAUACAGUUUUGUUCUUUGAAAAGCAUUUGAUACCUUGCUCUGUCCCCGUGGAUCCCUAAGGAAGAGGGGCUCUUCCAGCGACUGAAGUGCCACCAAGAGUCGACAUCAUCAACGUCUCCAUUAGAAGCCGGAGAGUAUGAUCCAAGCAAACCGAGCCGCUAAAGAGACAGAGAGCUUAAGUGGAGAAGGGGAGGAGCAAAGUGUUGAGCGAGAUGAAGAGGAGGUGAGGCAUGAUAAACAAAGAACAAGAGCCAGAGAGCACAAGUGGAAAAGGGAAGGGGGGGAGGUGAGGCCAAAGAACAAUGAAAUUUUAGUCCCGCAUCGCUAAAUAUAACUCUCUGAGUGCGAUUGAGAACUUUAAAAGAAGGAAGGAUCCUACUAUGUAAUUCAUACCUUUCUCGGCCUUUUGGCUAAGAUCAAGUGUAGUAUCUGUUCUUAUCAGUUUAAUAUUUGAUACGUGGGCCAUUGGUCCACUAUGA